UCAGGAGCUGCUCAGUCAAUGUUUGUUGAAUAGUAACGAAAUCAAAGCAGACGAGGGAGCGAAAGUGGGGCUCUCAGGGUGUGGUUACCAUGGAGAAGGUGCAACGCCCCCUCCCGGAACCAGAACUCUGGCCAACAGCCUAGGGCUGCGGCCACAGGUGUUGGGUGACAAGGCCAGGUGCCACAGAGGGGCUCGGAGGAGUGAACUGAAGCACUUCCCCCUGAACGGGGCAGCCACCGCUCAGGUCCAGCUGGCUGUUACGGGUGGCAAUGAGGGAGACGCUUGCCACUUCACUCACAGGUCAGAAGCCAGAAAUCAAGACCUUUCGGGUGCCUGGCUCGGAGCAGUUUGAGGAAUGAUUGAAUGACAGCGGACGGCCCGACACCAUCACCAUCACGGCCCACCUUUGUGCCAGGACGGAAUCCAGAGGCAAGGGGAGCGGCUCCCAUACGAUGUGUCUAUGUUUACACCAAGCAGGUAUCCAGACGGUUCUAUGCUGGGAACUACUGCUGGUUACCCAGAACAAUACAAGCUCUUUGUCCUUACAGGAACUCAAGAAAAUCAAGGUAUUUUCCUUCCGUUGCCAGAGGCUUUAUCAUCCCAGACAGAAGAAAGGAGGCUUGCCAUUCUCCACGGCUACCCAUCACUUAAUGCCAUUCUUUCUGAUGUGGGGCGGGGUGGGGAGGGUCCCCUGGGUGUAACUCAGGGAAGAAUGCAGUGGGCAGCCCCCCACCCCACCUUGGCCGUGGAGCCAUCACACCCUGGUCUCAUCUGAUUUCAGGAAGUGGGUCUUUCCCAAUUUGGGGUCACUGCACAAGCCCCAUAGUCCCUUCCCUGGGUGGUACGUCUGGCCAAAUUUCACUUCUUUCCAGAAGCUGCCAGGGGUGACCCCUUCUGAUCCAGGCACCGUGCUACCCACUGACCCCCGCCCCCCUCUACGAGGAACCUGUCAGGACACUCUCCCCCUCUCCCAGGAAUUGAAGGGAUGGACCUGUGUCCAUAACUCGGUGGAAAACAUCGUUCAGAUAAAAUCGCAGCGCUGCUAUCACCUGGACGACUUACAGGAACAAUAGGAGCACAGAAUGUCCACAAAUGAGCCAUCUUUCCCGGAAAGAAGGGAUGCACGCAUUUCCUGCAGAAAGGAUGUUCGAGAAAUCCAGAAGUGGAGCAGAGCCGCGCCGGGCCUGGCCUCUGCGGCCUCGUUACAGACCUGCCCCCCAACCCCCCGACCAUCUGCGAUGGCUGCAAAUGCAGGGCGAGAUGGAGAUGAGAGGUCGGAGGGGAAGUCGAGUCAGGUCACUGCCGGAGCACCUACCCCCUGGCCCCUAUCCCCACCCCCAUCCCAGCUACAGCUCAGUUCUCCUUCCUCUACUAUGCAACAGCUGCUCCUUCCCAGAUCCUGGCUGCCAGGGAAGCCCUGGGUCUGCAGCCUUGACUGCCGAUGGGCUUCUGGAAGCCUUUGCCGACAGAGCUGGUCCUCAGUGCCUUCUGACCCUGAAAGAAAACACUGCUCUGUGCACCUGCUCAUGGUCACCUCCUGGAGGGGACACCACUUCCUGCCUCUCCUCCCACAAGCAUGACCUACUGCAUCCUCUGCUUUGCGUCCACUGCUCUGACGGCUCCCAGGGACCCACUGCCACCCGCCCGAAGCCAAGGAGGACCUGAGACACAAGUGCCUGAGUCCCAGCUGGAAAGAGAAGGGCACCGAGGCUGGCCUCCCCGUCUCCACUGCCCUGCCUGAGGCUGCUCCUGCAUUUUCCUCAUGAGUCCGGCCUAGCCUCUCCCACCCAAACGUGUUCUCACAUCAGCAGCAGGGACUCUCACUGGCCCUGAUCUUUUCUUUAUUUAAAUUUGGUCAUUUUGCUCAUCAGGGAUUUGUUUCGUAUUAAUUUGGAUCAUUUCAAACAUGACUGCACUCACAUAGUCUUUCUUCUGAUUACUGAGUUUUGCUGGUGUCCCCUUACAUUUUGUGCCUGAUGCAAGGGCCUCGCUCACCUCACCCUAGCCUGGGACCUUCUGGUUUGCCCAUUUGGAUUUUCCCAGGACUAUCCUGGGAAAACCAGGAGUAGUUGGUCGCCCUGAGUGCUCUAGGUACUAAAGGCAGACUUCCAGAAAUCAAAUGCUCGUGGUGCUGUUCUCCAGCCAGGGGACAACCUCUCUGUGCCUCCGUGCCCUCAUCCACGCUAUGGGGGGGUGGCAACUACCUCCGAGGGUGGCUACCGUGAAUUCAUCUGUGAGAAGGCUUGGUGCAAUGCCUGGCACAUGGCGAGUGCCACACACAUUAGCCCCGACGGUGGACAGCUUGCAGCUUGGUGCUUCUGAUGGACGUGGCCUUGCCCUUGCGUUUGCCCUGGCCUUUGUGUUCUGGUGAAGAGGUCACUGAGAGCAGAUACAUUAAGAUGAUAUUAUUUGUGCAAUGCUCGCGCCGGAGAAUGGGCCUGGAAUCCUGCGUGGCCUCGUCUAAUCCUGCCAAGCAGCCAACAGAGGAGGUUCUUUCAUCCUCCACAGUUUGCAGACAGCAUCAGUCAGCGAGACACUUGCCUGGGAUCCCAGAAGGAGCAAGAGACGGAUUCAGAAUCUGACCCCUGCCCUCACAGCUGACCUCCUGCCCCCCACCUCUGGACGGCUCUGGAAGUUUCCCCGGGGCACACCUAGGAUUCAGGAGAAAGUCACGCCAGCUAAGGUUAUCUGACAAAAUUCUUCGCCCCCACAGCAACUUGUGUUCAUCAGGUAGGUUCUUUCUCCCACGACGACACUUGGCAAAAGAAUUACCAGUUACCACUGGCUGCUGUCACGUGACAGGCGCUGGGUGCCUGGGGAGCACGGGGUGCGAGGAGGCCUUUUCACGCAUACCAAUUUGCACGUUGAACCCUCCGAAUCUAACGAUUACCUCUUCAACAAUAAGUGCUUCACAUUCCAGUUCAAAAAUGCAAAAAGAAAAGAAAAACUUACAAAUCAUCCUCAGGAGAACCUUGGAGUGGAUCAGCCCCUCGACGCAUUUGGCUUCAAGAGAAUCUUGGCAGGUCCCCCAGCACGGUCCUCCCCGGCUGGCAGGAUGGGCCAGCCUCUCCGGGAUUAAUUCACUCCUUGGGCCCACGUUCCAGAUUCCCCAGACACGUGACUUUGCUCUGCUCUCAGGCCCGGAGCGACGCUGGCCCUCAGUGGUCCGGACUCCAGAUCAAGCUUCACGGGAAGCUCCCAGAGAAUGCAGAGGAGUUGCAAGUGGCCUGACCACUCUCUCGGUUCAUUGGAGGGGAAAAAGGAAUAUCACAGCCAUUAGCUCACAUUUGGGAUUAACCGUGGGAUCCGAGGUGACACCAAACCCACAGCCAUUCAGAGGGAAGCUCACUUCCUCCUUCUGGUUUCCUGGCAAAACUCAGAAUAAAGCAUAGUCCUAAAAGUAAAACAUGCGGGAUGGUGUUUGGAGUGCGGAGUGCCCCAGGCACAGAAUCCAGAGACCGAAGUGCGGGUCCCCGCUCUGUCACCAACUGGGGCAUUGGGUAAGGCCUCCUCUCUCUAAACCCCUGGAGCUGUGAAAGGGGGGGAUGGAGUGAUGGCCCCUCCAUCCUCUCCUGAGCUCUAAAA